rnacentral:misc_RNA from 1 species
UGUCGCCAUCAAGAAAUUAACAAGUGGAUAGUUUGUGCUGGUUUGCCUACCCAGACUCGCCUCAUAUGUGGCCAUUGUCAUGUUUCCUACUUGGCGUGUCACAUUAGUGUAGUAGAAGUUCCAACUGGUGUAAAGUUUUGAUUUAUUGAUAACUUCCUGAAAGUAAAAUAAAUCAUUGGUAGGAUGAUAUUAUUAAAUGACUAUUGAAAUGAAAAUCCUGAAUUAUAAAGGAUCAAGCUCUUACCUGCAUUUCAGUUGAUAGCCAAA